rnacentral:lncRNA from 1 species
AAACAUCCAAUGUAUUAUCCUAAUCUAGCAUACAAAACAAUGACUAUAGCAAGAUAGAAUACAUACCUCUUUGGAGUAGAAAGUCUUCAUGAAGCUUGAGUUCCUAGUGCCCCAAGUGUGACACCUCAAAUGGUUCACACAACACCAAAUACAAAUGGAAUGACUUGAGAGAAUUCUACACUUCAUGAAAAUCGGCUAGCCCUUUGUUACUCUCUCUAGUGGCCGAUUUUUCCCAAGAAUAUGAUCUUUAUAUAGUGUUACAAUUAGGGUAAACCUUAAUUGUCAUGGCUUUCCAUUUCCUUGGAUCCAUGGGUUCAAUUACACCAUGGAGCAUCCAUGGACCAUCCUAUGGGUUUUAGCCCAACUUGAUUAUCCAUGGAGCAUUAGCCCACUAUACAAGUAUGGAUGAUUUACACAAUCAACCCAUAUAUUUAAUUAGUCUUCUUUUGAUCACUUAAUUAAUCCUAGAUUAAUUCUUGAUCAAUACUAAUUAAAUAAUCUUAUUAUUCUUAUUAUUAAUAUACUAGAACUUAUAAUAUAUUAAUAACCAUAAGUGUCUUAUUUCUCUCAUUUAGUCUAUCCAAGUGCAUGAUGCCAUGCAACCCAAAUGGACCAUGCCGGGUCGGGUCAAGUCUUACCAAUUAUAGUUAUGGACUUAGACAUUAAUCCAACAGUCUCCCACUUGGAUAAGUCUAAAACUAUUAUUGCGUAUGACUUCAGGAACCAACUGGCAAUCGUAGCUCUCAAAAGCUUCUGUCGAACUCUGACCUUGUAGAUGAACUCUGACCUUUGUCAAUGACUUGUCCAUUAGAUAAGGGAUCAUAUAUUCCUCCAUUCUAGAUAUCAUAUGGACUGAGACAUGGAUUAUAAUCAUUCUCUCUGUCCAUUUGUUGUUUCCCGAUUUCCGAUUUAUGACGACUGACUAAUUGAACAAAUCAAAUCAGUCCUGGCCCGGCCGAGCACUUCCAUUUGUCAUCAUCAAAUCAUCGAGGGGCCCACAGAUAUCGCUUUUAUCCCGAAGGUAAAAGGAAUGGAUAAACUUCGACUCAUAUGGCUUGUUCUACUACUUGUUGAAUCAUACACAAAGGCACGUUUUAUAGCACCGAGUUACCAAAUGCGUUUUCGUGCAAUCAAUGUACUAUCAACUCAUAGUAACAACUCAUAUCUCUAGGUUUGAAGAAUAUAAGAUAUUAUCGUCUCAUGAUCACUCGUGAUAAAAUCCAUGAAGUGAUUCCAAUGAGCGCGGGUUGAAUCCAAUACUCAGAACUUAUGAGCACUCAUGAGUGUUGUAGCCCUUUGUCCAACACCUUAGACCUCUACAAGCCAACCCAUGACAGUCUUAAUUCAUAUCUACUUCCAACAUAUGACCGACUGUGGAUGGUUUGAAUAACUUAGUCAUUCCGGAAGAAUAACCCAGUUUAUUCGGGAAGUCAAAACAUGCAAAAUGAAACACAAUAAUAAUUGAAUCCAAUAUGGUAUCAACCCUUUGAACAUAAAUAAAACACCUUUUAUUUAUCACCAUAUGAUUACACAUUAUUCAUUGUAUACUGUUUCAGCUAUCAACUUUAUUCUUGAAUUUAAAACAAUAGUUGUCCCAUGCUCCAAGCAUGUACACUAUGUUUUCUUAAACACUAGUCAUGCCACACACCAAGUAUGCAUACUAUGUUUGUCUAUGAUCUUUACUUUGUGAACUAGAUCAAUUGAACAUAACUUCAAUGAUUCUCUUUUCACACUCCCAAAUCCUUACUGCAAAUGCAAGAAUUCCAAAUUCAUGCCAUUUACUGAAAUCUGUUAGAUUCUAAACUUAUAUGCAUUGAUCCUCUUGUAAUGAUUAUGCACAAAGUCACAAAGACUUGGCAACAAUCAUUACAGAGUAUUCCAAAGGAGAUCAACUCCUUGGAAAUAUCCUUCUUGCAUUAAGUUUCCUUAAUCUUACACAGAUUGAAAAUUCUAACUUUGAAACAUUUCCAGAUUCCAUUUUGACUAUCACUUCUGAACAAGAGUUGCCUCCUUACAGAUUAUGUCAAUAUGGUCCUUCCAGAAUUAUCACUAUACUUCCAAUUGUCCUUGAGUAACCAAUCUUUGGUAAACCUUAGAUUGUCCUCGACAAUUGUUUAAUCCUUUUAGUCAUAUCCAGUUCUAAACCUUUUCCCUUCUUAAUGCCCCAGGCAUUUGGAAAAUUUUAGAACGGAUGAAUAUAGCACAUGUAAUCGAUCCUAUAUCCGAAGCAUAUGGGACACGAUUCAUGAUGUCUUACAUAAAGACUAAACCAGUCUUUUGCUAUAAUAUUUCCAUUUCAAUUUGCCAAGUUCUCAUAAUUCAGAUUAUGAAAAGGGAUGCCGUAAUCAUAAUCGAAUUUUAGAACGCAAAUAAUGGACCCAUAUACAGAAUUUCCUUAUGUUGAGCCAUUCCAACAUGAAAUUCAUAUAUAUCCUUGACUAAAUGAUUAAAACCUCACGAUCUAAGCUUAUAGAUUUGAGAUGAAGCAUAAUUUCCUCUCCCUUAAUUAUAGCAAAACAACUUUUUCCCAAUUGAAACUUUUGUUUUCUAUAAUUAACAUUGCUAACUUGCAAUACUUAUCAUAAUUAUCAUGCUCCCACUAACAUGAUGAUUAUUAGCAUAACACUUAUGCUCCCACUAGCUUUGACAUGUACUCAGAAAUCAGCUGGACAGUCUGAAAUUUAGAUUCAUACACCCUUUCCGUAGAUAGCUCACCUGUGUGUCUAAGCAAUUUCAAGAACCAUGAAAAGGGAUACCGUAAUCAUGGUCUCAAUUGCUUAGGCAUUUGCCAUUUCUCACAAGUCCAUGUUAGUGUGCCGGUUAACCACACGCGCUCCACUAACGACUUUUGAAAAUGCAAAUAACACAAUUGAUAUCUUCGUAAAAUCUACUUAGUGAAAGCGUUUCCUCACCAUCAUUUUCAUGAAUCGGAGAGAAACCUUAUGACACUUAGAUUUAUAUGGUGUAUGAGUUCCUACCCAUAUGAAUUUGUCAAACCAUAAUCACAAGACAAAGAUAAUGACAAAUCCAAAACCAUAUGGAUUGAACUCAAUCUUAACUUCUUGCCACCUGGCAGCUCAAGGGCCUGCCAUUGCUUCCAAGUUGUUAUGCAACAAACUGAGAACUCUAAGAACUCAUAUGCAAAGCCAACUUUAACUGGAAUGGGCACAGAUAUGUCAACACGAUAGGUUAUAAACCUCAAGUCGUGUGCUAGUGAAGAACUUUAGGUUUUAUUCUUGAUUAUUUCUUGAGACUUUCAAGACCUUUAAGACUCCCACUGUCCUCUUGACAUAUAAGACUCCCUUGUCAAACAUCCAAGAGAUAGUGCGGAUUCUAAUCAAGAAAAACACUUUACCCAAUUGGCCUAAGUUGGUCUUUGUUUUAUCCAAAACAUCACAACUUACCAAUUUCAAAUGUACAAGAGUAGAAAACUUUUACUCUUACAUUUGACAAGUGUUUUAAACCUUCUUUAAGACAUGUCACUCAAAUGACAAUCUUGGAGUAUGACUCUAAGACUUGUAUUGGAACGAAGUAUGACUCAUCUUCUUGAUUUAACCAUUUCAACAAUUCAAGUUCCUCUUCUUAGUCAUAAGAAUGCACUAAGAUUUCCUUAGAGAACUAAUUUUGAUAUGGUUUCUUAAUCAUUAAGAUGAUCACAAAACUGAUACUAAAGUACUCUCCCAUCUUUUCAGAUUUGAGAAACUUUUAUCCUUCUGCCUUAUUUGAUUCUUCUUAUCGAUCUUUAGUGGUGGACUUAAUCAGUGCACAAGAAUGUGUACUCGAUCCCUAAGUCCUUUACUUGACUCACACAUCCAUGUGAACAAGUAAUUAGUCUUAAUUUUCCAAAACUUGAAAGUUCUCAUUCAUCAUGCUAUACAACUUGCAUGAUUCCAAGUUCCGGUCCAAUUGAAACUUGGGUGAUGAGAAUCUUUCCUUAUUUGGUAAAUUUAGACAUUACCACAAAUGAAAGAAUCAAUUUCAUAUUUCCACUCUUGCUCUUAAUGGAAUCAUAUAAGCAACAAUUUUUCCUCAAAUGCCAUUGUAAGGAUAUUUUAAAAUAAAUAAAAUCAAAAAAAUUUUCUUUUAUUUUAAAACUUUGCGGAAAAACUUAUCCUUACAAUCCAUAUGAAAACUUGUUGUUAUCUAUUCCUAAGCAAUAUCUCAUAACUCCUAAGAAGUAGCUCAAGAAUCCGAUCUUCAAACUAUGCGAUAGAAAUCCAUCUACGCCAUCAGAUUCAGCAUAUUCUUUCUUUAAGUUUCUUCACUUUUCUUUGAUUCUUAAAACAUCACCAUGUGACCCAGUCACAUCAUGUAUCAAGAAUCUCAGAAUAGAAACUUAACAGAGUUAGAUAGUGGACUUUACCUGAAGUAGAGUCAAACUUAUUGACUUUAACAUCCUUAGGUAAAUUUGGCAGCUUCGCAACCAAUGCCCCUUCCUUUGGCAAUAUAAACAUAUGGACCCUUUGAUAAUGGUACACGGGACUAUCACAGACUUAGCUUUUCUCUUUACCAUUUGGUCAACCGAGUUGACUAUGGCCGAUCCCUUUCCAUUGGGAAGAGAAUGCUUUACUGGAUAUCCAAUGUCAUCAUUGUCAAUGUCCAUAAAGUUUUAGGAAGUUGAUCUUAGCAAAUAGAUAAGAUCAUUAAGGGUCUUGUCAUAGUCUGUUUCAUAGGUGUCCCAAAGGAACUCACUAUGUGACUUAGAAAGUGGUUGAACCACCAACUUUCUCAAGACUUUGACACCCAACUCUCCCGGCUUGUCAAUAUGUGACUACAUCUCCAAGAUGUGACCACACCUAGACCUUGCCUUGCCAAUAGGGCCUGAGUGACCUUAAACUUUUCAAGAACUUGUGGGUUAGGGAGAAUAAUUUGAAGAGGUGAAGAAGUAUGAUAUCCAUGGGACAUCAUCUUCAUUAGGAAACCUUGUUUCAAGAGAUUUGGGAAGAUCAUAGGUGUCUAAACCAGACAUCUUUUGGGAGAUAUUCAAGAUAGUUGAUUUAAAGUCCUUAAUAUGACACCCAAUAUGAAAUAUUAAGGCUAGGACCCAACAAACUAUUUUAUAACUUAGAAGAGGUAUGCCGUAAUCCAAGCUAUAAAAUAUUUGAAGGUAGGUGAAUGACGAUUCACCAAUUUCCACCAAGAUAAACGAAAUGUAUUAUUAGGUUUUAAUUGGUUUUGAAACUCCUAGAUCUUUGAGAUUCAUUGAACUUUUCAAAGGCAUGUUUCAAUCUCGAGUGUGCCCUUCAGGUUUUGUGACUGGGAUGCCGAGGAUCACAAAACAAGGUGUGAAGUAACCAUGCAAAUCACUUGGUACCCUUAAUAAAUUACCCCUCAAUCGAUGUGCCGGUUAACCACACACGCUCCAUCGAUACUAUGAUAAAUAUUAAGUCACCCUUUACCUACCUUGUUAAGUCCAAGUUAGUGUGCCGGUUAACCACACACGCUCCACUAACGACUUAGACAAAGUGUAAAGUGUAAUUUCAUGGAUUAGCACCUUAUUCACAUUUUUCCUAAGUAACUAAGAUUGGGUAUUAUUAAGAGUUUAGUUACUUAGUAUUAUCAUUAAUACUUUUAAUGAAGGGAGAAUUCUAGUCCUGUCAAACCCGUUCGGCUAACGACCCUCCACCAGUCAAGCAAGCGGUGGGUGAGAGUGGACACCCAUUAAGUUGCCAUUUUAUAGGCAACAACCUUAUACCCACCUUAUAGACCGGCUUCGUGAAUGAGGCGUACUAGCGGUAAGACUGACUUUACUCUUAUACAUAUAUAUAUUAUUAACUUAUAAUAUUAUAAAGUAUAAGGGUUGAAUUUUAACUUUUAAAAUUCUAAGGGCUAACUUGGAAUUAAAGUAUUCAUACUUGAAAACUUUUCAAAUUCCAAAACUUGAGGGCAAGUUUUGAAACUAUUCAAAACUAAUUAAUUCCAUAACUUAUGUGUUUAAAGUAGUUUUAAUCCAAAAACUCUUCAAGUUCCAUAACUUGAGGACAAGUUAUGGAAGACUUUAAACUAAUAAAAGAACUAACUUUUUCUUUAUUUUAUAACUUAUGGAUUUAAUUAUGGUUACAUAUUUUUCUUUAAUGAAGUGACUCUUGAACUUCCAUAACUUGAGGACAAGUUAUGGAGUCAAAAAAAAUUAUUCAAUGACACAAGACUCUUCAUUUUGUAACCAUUGCCAACUUUUAUGAAUUUUAUGAGUCUUUAAUGUGACUCUUCAUGUAACUUGAGGACAAGUUACACAAACACAUUUUAUACUCAACUCUUAGAUUAAAAUGGAUUGAAAACAACUAUUUCACUCAACUUUUCUAUUAAUCUAAGCAACUCAUAAGAACAAGAUAAUUCAAAUCAAACUUUUUCAUGUAAUUAGUCUAAACCUUAAACUAAUACAAAACAUGAAUCUAUUGACAAUUAUCUUUGAAAAUGGAUUAGCAUGAACAUUACCACAUCAAAAACAAGUUUAUAAGUUCAAAAACAACUUAGGGUAAUGUUCCUAGUCCAUUUCUAGCCAAAAAACUCGAAAAUAUGCUGUCUGGGGGUCCAACUCGUCGAGUGCAUGAACAAACUCGGCGAGUUGGAUCGAAUUCAUCACUUUUUAGGCAUGGACUCGUCGAGUCUCCUGAUGGACUCGCCGAGUCUGAUGGCCAGACAGCACCAGAUUCGUUUUUUCAGCUUCUAUUGCAGGUAUAACAAGAAAACAAGCCUAGGCUCUGAUACCACUGUUGGGUUUUGAGCAUUCUAACACUCCUAAGUGUACAUGCAACCCUAAAUACCUUGGAUCUAUGUUUUCUCUAUUAUACAUGCAAAUAAGAACUUCCAAGGUAUUAUCCUAAUCUAGCAUACAAAACAAUGACUAUAGCAAGAUAGAAUACAUACCUCUUUGGUGUAGAAAGUCUUCAUGAAGCUUGAGUGCCUAGUGCCCCAAGUGUGACACCUCAAAUGGUUCACACAACACCAAAUACACUUGGAAUAACUUGAGAGAAUUCUACACUUCAUGAAAAUCGGCUAGCCCUCUCUAGAAUGAUACUAGUCGCCGAUUUUGUCAAGAAUAAGAUCUUUAUAUAGUGUUACAAUUAGGGUAAACCUUAAUUGUCAUGGCUUUCCAUUUCCUUGGAUCCACGGGUUCAAAUACACCAUGGAGCAUCCAUGUACCAUCCUAUGGGUUUUAGCCCAACUUGAUUAUCCAUGGAGCAUUAGCCCACUAUACAAGUAUGGAUGAUUUACACAAUCAACCCAUAUAUUUAAUUAGUCUUCUUUUGAUCACAUAAUUAAUCCUAGAUUAAUUCUUGAUCAAUACUAAUUAAAUAAUCUUAUUAUUCUUAUUAUUAAUAUACUAGAACUUAUAAUAUAUUAAUAACCAUAAGUGUUUUAUUUCUCUCAUUAUAGUCUAUCCAAGUGCAUGAUGCCAUGCAACCCAAAUGGACCAUGUCGGGUCGGGUCAAGUCUUACCAAUUAUAGUUAUGGACUUAGACAUUAAUCCAACACCGGGUUGCACUUUAACAUUGUUUAUCAUCCAUAGACUAACGAUCAGAGCAAGAGGACGAUCCAAACGCUCAAGGAUAUGUUGAGAGCAUGUGUUAUAGAUUUUAGUGGGAGUUGGGAUUCUUACCUUCCUCUGGCCGCAUUUUCAUAUAAUAACAACUAUCACUCCAGUAUC